AGGAGGAACAACCACCGUCCGGGGCCAGCUCUGGAGCCCUGGAUUCAGCUCCCGUAGUAACUACGGAGGUCUCAGUCUGCAGGGCCUGGAUGCUCCGGGGGCGG
rnacentral:pre_miRNA from 1 species